AAGACCUUGCGCUUUUGGAGCGGCCGAUGUCUGAUUAGCUUGUUGGUGAGGUAAAAGCUUACCAAGGCUUCGAUCAGUAGCUGGUCUGAGAGGACGACCAGCCACACUGGGACUGAGACACGGCCCAGACUCCUACGGGAGGCAGCAGUGGGGAAUUUUGGACAAUGGGGGCAACCCUGAUCCAGCCAUGCCGCGUGAGUGAAGAAGGCCUUCGGGUUGUAAAGCUCUUUCAGCCGGAACGAAACGGUUACGGUUAAUACCCGUGACUACUGACGGUACCGGAAGAAGAAGCACCGGCUAACUACGUGCCAGCAGCCGCGGUAAUACGUAGGGUGCAAGCGUUAAUCGGAAUUACUGGGCGUAAAGCGUACGCAGGUGGUUUUGUAAGUCAGAUGUGAAAUCCCCGGGCUUAACCUGGGAACU
rnacentral:rRNA from 1 species